CUGUGAUGGUUUUUACAAAUGUAGUUUUGGCUUAAGAUUUAUACCAGCAUCCAGUGGGAAAAUUUAAAAGAAUCUACAUAACUUUUGGGCAAAGGAAUAGUGUCAUCCAAAGAAGACAUGAAUAGCUCUUCAAGGUUAUACUGCAUUACAAAGCUAAAAGGUAUUAAAAGAAGCCAACUAUAUGAAUUUCAGCUAAUCAUACCAAAUAUUACUUUCCUUCAACAUGAGAUAUAAAAAUAUUCUAAGUUAACCUAUUCUAUAUGUCCUACUAUAAUGCGUAAAGGACAUUUAGUCUUUCAAAGUAAACAAGUAAACUCAGUUACCAACCAGGUUUCCCUUACAUUAGACUCCCUCGAUGGUGUCUUCAAAAGAAAAGCAUGCUAAAAACUGGAUUAUCUUA
rnacentral:lncRNA from 1 species